rnacentral:rRNA from 1 species
ACGGAAGGUGCAAGCGUUAGUCGGAAUUACUGGGCGUAAAGGGUGCGUAGGCGGUACUGUAAGUCGGGCGUGAAAUUCCGGGGCUCAACCUCGGUAAUGGCGUUCGAUACUGCAGUUCUAGAGGAAUGGCGGAGAGAAUGGAAUUCCAUAUGUAGCGGUGAAAUGCGUAGAUAUAUGGAAGAACACCUGUGGCGAAAGCGGUUCUCUAGCCUCCUCCUGACGCUGAGGCACGAAAGCAAGGGGAGCAAACAG